rnacentral:lncRNA from 1 species
GGGUACUUGCCCUCUCUUAAUCUCUUUAUCUUUGUUCAAAUACAUUCUAGACAGUAUCAUGUGAUCCUUCACGCCUAUGUUCCUCACUAGAUUCUAUCUUAAUAGUUCUUCAUCAAUUAUUUAUAUACCUAAUAGUUUCCAAAGCCUUCUCAUUAUCUAUAUCUGUGUUGAUAGUGAGUCAUAUCAAAGCAAGUCAAGUCCUUUGUAUUAUUGAAGCAUCAAACACUGUAAUUUUUUCUUAACCUGCUCAGAGAAUAGAAAAGAUGUACCAGGGGUCCAGGACAGAAACUUAUUAACACAUAUUAUUGCAACUUUCUCACUAUAAGUUAGUUCUAUUUCUCUCAUAAGCUUUUCUAUGAUCACCUAUUUCAAGUUGUUAGGUGGAUGUCUAUCAAACCCAACUUUUUCACAGGAUUAACCUGGGAAACAUUAUUAACGAUUUUGGUGAUGGUUCAUGAUCAGAGAUUCAUUCGUCUAAUCCUUUUCUAGACCUUUAUUUUGCUGAUGUUUUAAUGUACUUUAAAUUGUGUACUUAUAAACGCAUGAGAAUAAUCCUGGUAACUAUGAAAAACAUAUAAGCAAUUGCAGUGAUCCUAGUACAAACAAUAACAAUUGCAUUAACAUGAUCUUAAACUCAUGAACCUUUGUUAACUUGGAGUGUCUUCUUCUGUAAGUCUUGAUCAAUAAAUUUAUGGGGUAAAACAUGGAGUUAUAAUUGAAAACUAAAUUUAUUUUCUAAUUAAUUCAGCAAAGAAGUCAAAUAGCCAAUGCUUUUCUCUGAUUUUUGCCUUUUUAGAUAAAGUGCAGUUGUGACCUUUCACUGCAAAUAGAAGCUUAUUGCCUUUAAGCCUAAUAUUUAUCAACUGAAAUUUGAUAAUAAUGCUUCUUUAUAUAAUGGAAUUCGUUGAGAAUUGGGAAAAUCUGAAAGUGUUUUAACAAUUUCAUGUAUUCUCAUUCAGAUAAAAUUUGUUUACUUCUGUAGAAAUGACACAAGGAAUAAACAAUGGAAAAUCUUCAUAAUAGAAGAAAAUGUAUUAAGUACAAAUUUGCCUCAACUAAUCUAUCUCACUUUCUGUUGGCAUGAUUUACAGCUCAUUCAUUCAACUGAGAAAUGAGGUUUAGGAACUCAUCCUCCCUGCAGGGAAUUGUGAGACCACCAGUUGGAUGAUCAUAUCCAAAUUCUUCUUCGGCUUGUUGUAGUAACUCUUGAAAUGAAGGUUGGUUUAAGUAUGAUACUG